AGCUCCAAUAGCGUAUAUUAAAGUUGUUGCAGUUAAAAAGCUCGUAGUUGGAUUUCGGGAUGAGAAGCAUGGUCUACCGAAAGGUGUGUACUAGGCGGCUCAUUCUUCCUUCUGUAGACUGUCAUGGUUCUUAACUGGGCUGUGGCUUGGAUGCAGAACGUUUACUUUGAAUAAAUUAGAGUGUUCAAAGCAGGCAUUUGCUUGAAUACAUUAGCAUGGAAUAAUGGAAUAGGACUUUGGUUCUAUUUUGUUGGUUUCUAGGACUGAAGUAAUGAUUAAUAGGGAUAGUUGGGGGCAUUAGUAUUUAAUUGUCAGAGGUGAAAUUCUUGGAUUUAUGAAAGACUAACUUCUGCGAAAGCAUUUGCCAAGGAUGUUUUCAUUAAUCAAGAACGAAAGUACG
rnacentral:rRNA from 1 species